rnacentral:rRNA from 1 species
UACGUAGGUGACAAGCGUUGUCCGGAUUUACUGGGCGUAAAGCGCGCGCAGGUGGUUUCUUAAGUCUGAUGUGAAAGCCCACGGCUCAACCGUGGAGGGUCAUUGGAAACUGGGAGACUUGAGUGCAGAAGAGGAAAGUGGAAUUCCAUGUGUAGCGGUGAAAUGCGUAGAGAUAUGGAGGAACACCAGUGGCGAAGGCGACUUUCUGGUCUGUAACUGACACUGAGGCGCGAAAGCGUGGGGAGCAAACAGG